UGGACAUUUUCUUCUAUUCAGUUUCUUCUGAGGGUGAAGAUAACUCUUUGUAAAUGUCCUAGAGAAAUACAGUAGCUUUCUGUUUACCCUUUGCUAGUAAUACUGACAUUU
rnacentral:snoRNA from 1 species